AGAAUGUACAGCCCAAUAAUAGGCGUCCAUGGUGGACGCGUAUUAUUGGGCUGUACAUUCCUGGGUUGAGCAUUCUCGGGCCGCGCAAUAUUGGUCCGGGGCGAUAAUACGAAGCCACUCUUUUCACAGGGCAAUAAUGUACGACCCCAUAAUUCGCGUCCAAUAAUUUGAGUCCCUUGGCUUUCAAUUAUUGGGCUGCGCAUUAUUGGUACAGGUCGAGAAAGCCCGACCCAAUAAUGUACGACCCAAUAAUAGGAAGCCAAAAACCAGAGAGAUUCUUUUUUUUAAGGGAGCUGUCAAAAUUAGUAGGGACGUUCUGACAUUAGCUCUUGACAAUUUAAAAAUAAUCGGUUUUUUCUAGUGCCAUCUUUCAGUGACAUUGACAGUAUUGUAUUGACACUUGUUGGUUUACAAAUACAAUAAAAUGAAUUCUAAUAAAAGAAACAGUAGACUCAGUAGAGGUACGAGGUACUGAAAAAAUAUUAAUUAAUGGAGAAGCCGAAGUUGGAGGAAAACAAGAAGAUUCGAGGAGAAUGGUGUGGCACUUAAUGCCGCCGGGACAGUAACCUAGCUGCAGCUCCAACUCUAGGGAAUUGGGCUGAAUGAACGCAACACGUGAUCGACAGCCCACCUGCUUCCUGCCGAGCGUCCCUACACUACAUCUACAUGGAUUCGCUUAUUCUGCUCUACAAAACUUCUAAAACAAUACAAAUAAUACAGGAAGAAGAGAUUAAACAACAGGCGGUCUUAUCGCUAAAAAGCGAUCUCUUCCAGACAACCUUACUACUUUUGAGGAGCUGAUACAAGCAGCCAGAAUGAGUCUCUGCUGAGUCGCCGGCGCCGGACGUGCGUCGCGCGCCUCGGGCGACUGACGUCUUCGUGUGAGUCGCCAAUUGCAGGGGAAGUUACGAAUAGUUAGGUAUAAAAGCUACUUUAGUCAACCUCGCCUCAGUACUGUUUGUAUUGACUGAAAUACAAGUAGCAUAUAUGAGACGUUCGGACGUAUCCGUGAAAAUACGAAGGUAAAGGAAAUUGCACUACAUUUUUAGAACCUAUUCACCUGUCAGUAAAAUAUUGAAAAGGAAAGUUCAUGAGUUUUAUUAUUUUCUUUCCUCCAACAGCUUCACAUGGAGCAAAUGUAAACCUUUUAUGUUAAUAAUAUCAGUAAUGUCAAGGUACAACGCUCUUUAGAGCAUAUUGCCAUUCCUUUUACUCGAGUGGCCUGUGGGUUAACUAUACGAAGCGAGCCUACGAUGCAUUAAAAGUGCAGUAUAACAAUGCAUUCAGAAUGCUGUUGGGCUUACCUCGUAGAUGUAGUGCAUCUGGCAUGUUUUGCGAAGCUAGAAGUUUUCUGGCAAUCAUGCGCAAGAAAAUAGUAUCUCUGCUAGGUCGAGUUAGAAGCAGUCCCAAACAUACAUGUUCGAAAAGUAGAACUCCCUUAGUAGGCCAAGCAAUAAGAAGUUAUGGAGGGAAAUGCUAGGAACACAAUUUUUGACUACGUAACUUUGUUUGGACUAGUUAGGAGGUGAACAUAUCAAAAGUCCCCGGCUGUAGCCCCGGUGCUGGGGGGUAGACUAGUUAUAGUCCAAACAAAGUUACGGAGUCAAAAACUGUGUUCCUAGCAUUUCCCUCUACAACGUUUUUUGAGCAUUCAUUUCCUGACCUAUAGAUCGUGUUUCAAUUUAUCGCCUCUCGUUGGCAAUUAAGGUGGUUCGCUUUCCAUACAAAAAAAACAAUUACAUAAGUACCUAAUAGUGUGUAAUUACUUAAUAUAACGCAAUUGUUUUUUGUAUGGAAAGCGAACCACCUUAACUAUUCGCACAACGUUUUGUAGUUGCAGUAAGUACUUACAUAUGGCCGGUUAAAUUUUCGAAAUAGGUAUGUAUUUACGUACAGUGCUAAUUGCCGCACAUAGAAUAAUUAAAGUUUGAUCAAUCGGAAUAUGUUCCUAAGUCACUUAUUACAUUUCGAAUUAUAAGUCUGUAUUUUACAGCUUUAGAUGUGCAUGACUGCAUAUGCACAUCUAAAGCUGAAAAAUGCUUUCAUGAAAUUAUGGCUAAAUUAUGUUAAUAGGGACAAAUGUAUCAUUUUCAACCAAAUGGGUUCUUAUUAUCUGUUGUCAAUAAGGCGCUAUUUCCAUAAAGCUUCAAUUUGAAAUCAGCCUCGUCGACAACCGACAAUGUUAACCUUUUGGUUGAAAACGUCACAAAUUAUGGCGAUAGAGAAUACAAUGUUCUGUUGUCAGAGUGCAGCACUAGUAA